rnacentral:tRNA from 1 species
AGCCCCGUCGUCUAGUCUGGCCAAGGAUGGGGGGCUUUGGACCCCUCGACGUAGGUUCAAAGACCUGAAAAUCCUACCGGGGCUACCA